rfam:Daphnia pulex DAPPTscaffold_267_Cont8053, whole genome shotgun sequence.
GAUAGUGUGGCCGAGUGGUCUAUGGCGCUGGUUUUAGGCACCAGUCUCUUCAGAGGCAAGGGUUCGAAUAACUUCACUGUCA